GAUCCUGCUCAGGAUGAACGCUAGCUACAGGCUUAACACAUGCAAGUCGAGGGGCAGCAUCAUCAAAGCUUGCUUUGAUGGAUGGCGACCGGCGCACGGGUGAGUAACACGUAUCCAACCUGCCGACAACACUGGGAUAGCCUUUCGAAAGAAAGAUUAAUACCGGAUGGCAUAGUUUUCCCGCAUGGGAUAAUUAUUAAAGAAUUUCGGUUGUCGAUGGGGAUGCGUUCCAUUAGGCAG
rnacentral:rRNA from 1 species